rnacentral:lncRNA from 1 species
UUCUCCCGCCGACCUUACAUCCUAGAUUGCGAUGGCAACGAUUGUCGCCAUGUUAUAAAAUAUUCCACCUUUAAUCAUGUUAUUCUUCCCUUACGUUAACCUGAGUUAUAGUUAUCCUUAAUGUAAGGCCGGCUGACCAGGUUACUGAUCACAGAGAGUUAUUCUCCCGCCGACCUUACAUCAUAGAUUGCAGUAGCAACGAUU